rnacentral:rRNA from 1 species
GACAGAGGGUGCAAACGUUGUUCGGAAUUAUUGGGCGUAAAGCGCGUGUAGGCGGCUUUGCAAGUCGGGUGUGAAAGCCCUCAGCUCAACUGAGGAAGUGCGCUCGAAACUGCAUCGCUUGAGUACCGGAGAGGAUGGCGGAAUUCCCCAAGUAGAGGUGAAAUUCGUAGAUAUGGGGAGGAACACCGGUGGCGAAGGCGGCCAUCUGGACGGAUACUGACGCUGAGGCGCGAAAGCCAGGGGAGCAAACGGG